CGGCCGUAGCGCGGUGGUCCCACCUGACCCCAUGCCGAACUCAGAAGUGAAACGCCGUAGCGCCGAUGGUAGUGUGGGGUCUCCCCAUGCGAGAGUAGGGAACUGCCAGGC
rnacentral:rRNA from 10 species